rnacentral:rRNA from 1 species
UUAUAAAAGAAGCACCGGCUAACUUCGUGCCAGCAGCCGCGGUAAUACGAGGGGUGCUAGCGUUAAUCGGAAUUACUGGGCGUAAAGGGUGUGUAGGUUGUGAUAAUAUGUUGUUUAUUAAAUUUAUUAAUAAAAUUAAUAAGAUAAACAAAACUUUAUUACUAGAGUAUAAAAGAAGAAAAUAGAAUUCCAAGAGUAGCAGUGAAAUGCUUAGAUAUUUGGAGGAAUACUAGUGGCGAAGGCGUUUUUCUAUUUUAAUACUGACACUGAUACACGAAAGCGUGGGGAGCAAACAGGAUUAGAUACCCUGGUAGUCCACGCAGUAAACGUUGUCAACUAUUUAUUAAAUAACAUAAUUUUCAUAAUAAUUUUAAAGUUUUAUAAAUUAUGUAUUUUUAGUGAAAAAGCUAACGCGUUAAGUUGACCGCCUGGGGAU